AGUAAAAUAGUACGUGAAAUUGUUGAAAGGGAAACGAUUGAAGUCAGUCGUACCGACGAGAAAUCAGCUCUUCGAGUGCGAAGUUGUGGGCGUGCGUGAGUCUUUAACGGGCCUCGCUGUUUGCAAUUUUGUGCUUUUUGGGUGUACUUUUUCGUAUGGUAGGCCAACGUCAGUUUCGAUCACCGUAAAAUGAUCGGAGGAAUGUAGCUUCGAUCUCGUAUUGAAGUGUUAUAGCCUCUGGUAGAUGCGGUGACCGAAACUGAGGAUUGCAACGAAUACCCUUUUGGGCUAUCCGUCUGGCCUCUGAAAGUUGCUUAGGUGCCGAAAGCGUGCUUACGGCUAUUUAAGUUGACGGUCAACAGGUUAGAACGUGGUUACAUUCGUUAAGGACGUUGGCGUAAUGGCUUUAAA
rnacentral:misc_RNA from 1 species